rnacentral:rRNA from 1 species
UACGUAGGGUGCGAGCGUUGUCCGGAAUUAUUGGGCGUAAAGAGCUCGUAGGCGGUUUGUCACGUCUGCUGUGAAAACUGGAGGCUCAACCUCCAGCCUGCAGUGGGUACGGGCAGACUAGAGUGCGGUAGGGGAGAUUGGAAUUCCUGGUGUAGCGGUGGAAUGCGUAGAGUAUCAGGAGGAACACCGGUGGCGAAGGCGGUCUCGUGGGCAUUACCUGACGCUGAGGAGCGAAAGCAUGGGGGAGCGAACAGG